GUGGCAUGGAAAAUGUAAAAGCUCUUAACCACAUACCCCAUUAACAUAAUUGUAAGCUUUCCGGCAUCAUACAUAAAACAGCUCCUCGCUAACUCCUAAAAUGAGUGAAAAAGAAGAAUUGACAUUACAAUAUACACUGAAUUGAUUGCAGGGGGGAAGGGGAGAGGGUGUUGUGGCGGGCUAUACUAUAAAUGUUUUUCAC
rnacentral:misc_RNA from 1 species